rnacentral:rRNA from 1 species
AGGGAAUCUUCCGCAAUGGGCGCAAGCCUGAUGCAGCGACGCCGCGUGGAGGAUGAAGGCCUUCGGGUCGUAAACUCCUGUCUGGGGGGAUGAAAACUGACAGUACCCCCGGAGGAAGCCCCGGCUAACUACGUGCCAGCAGCCGCGGUAAUACGUAGGGGGCGAGCGUUGUCCGGAAUUACUGGGCGUAAAGCGCGCGCAGGCGGCUUGUUAAGUCAGGUGUCAAAAUGCGGGGCUCAACCCCGUAUCGCACUUGAAACUGGCAGGCUUGAGUGCAGGAGAGGGAAGUGGAAUUCCUAGUGUAGCGGUGAAAUGCGUAGAUAUUAGGAGGAACCCCAGUGGCGAAGGCGACUUCCUGGACUGUAACUGACGCUGAGGCGCGAAAGCUAGGGGAGCAAAC